UUUGAUUAGUUUUAAUUUUGGUCCUUCAUUUUGUAAAUGGUUUGAUGUGCUUUAUGCAGAUGCUAAGAGCUGUGUCAUUAAUAAUGGUAAUAUGUCCCAAUUUUUCAACCUUGAAAGAGGCUGUCGCCAGGGGGACCCGUUAUCUCCCUAUUUGUUUAUUAUUGGGGUGGAAUUACUUGCCAUACAGCUAAAAGGGAAUCCAAAAAUAAAAGGGGUGAAUAUAAAUGGGAAUCUGCCACUCAUUAGUCAGUAUGCAGAUGAUACGUUUCUUACACUGGAUGGAAGUGAAGAUUCAUUAAAAGAGACCCUUUCUUGUUUUGAAAAAUUUCACAAAGUCUCAGGAUUAAAGAUAAAUACAACUAAAACAAAAGUUGUUUGGAUUGGAAGUAAGAGAUAUUCUGACUUGGUUUUAUGUCCUGAAACAAAUCUAAGCUGGUCCUGUUCAAACUUUAAGGUUUUAGGAUUAAAUUUCUCUUUAGAUCUAGAGUGUAUGCCCAGUUUGAAUUUCAGAGCAAAAAUCAUUGAUAUUUCAAAAUUGUUGAAAAGUUGGCAGCAUAGGAAGCUAACACUACUUGGCAAGGUUACUGUUAUUAAGACUCUUGCACUUCCGAAAUUGAUUCAUUUGCUUACAUCUUUACCUAAUAUAUGUCAAUCCAUGUUGAAUGAAAUCAACAGAUUAUUCUUUAAUUUUAUAUGGGAUGGAAAAACAGAAAAAAUCAAACGUGAUACACUGAUUGCAGAUAAAAAGGAGGGAGGUUUGAAAAUGGUUCAUUUACAAUCUUUCAACUUUUAUCUUAAAGUCGGUUGGGUGAGGCGAUUUUUUUUCAAAUUUGAAUGGGGACUGGCAAAAUAUUCUUAAGUUGAUAUUGAAAAAAUUUGGAGGUGCAAGAUCUUUUUCUUUACAAAACUUCAAAUUUUUGGAGAUUGGAAAUCAACUCAGCAAUCCUUUUUUGGAAAGAUGUUUUUCAAGCUUUACACUCAUCUAAACCACAUGUUAAAACUGAUGUCAAGGAGUGUCUCUCGCUGGAUAUCUUGAAUUUUGUGAAAACAGAAGAUUUCCCAUUAUAUAACAGAUGGGGAGUUGCUGGUGUGCAAAACCUCUGUCACAUUUUUGACCAUCAAAGAAGAGAUUUUUUUCACAUUUGAUCAGAUUAAACAAAAAGUUCAGAC
rnacentral:lncRNA from 1 species